UCCGUAGGUGAACCUGCGGAAGGAUCAUUACAGAAAGUAAACGCGGAUCGAACCGCGAACUUCUAAACCUUUGACGAUUGACUCAUGUUGCCUCGGCGGGUUCUCCCGCCAGAGGAUACAUCAAAACUCCUGUUUUAACGGUGUUGUCUGAGCUACAAGCAACGAAUCAAAACUUUCAACAACGGAUCUCUUGGUUCUGGCAUCGAUGAAGAACGCAGCGAAAUGCGAUAAGUAGUGUGAAUUGCAGAAUUCAGUGAAUCAUCGAAUCUUUGAACGCACAUUGCGCCCCUUGGUAUCCCGAGGGGCAUGCCUGUUCGAGCGUCAUUUCACCACUCAAGCCUGGCUUGGUGUUGGGCGACGUCCCCUUUGGGGACGCGCCUCGAAACGCUCGGCGGCGUGGCACCGGCUUUAAGCGUAGCAGAAUCUUUCGCUUUAAAAGUCGGGGCCCCGUCUGCCGGAAGACCUACUCGCAAGGUUGACCUCGGAUCAGGCAGGGAUACCCGCUGAACUUAAGCAUAUCAAUAAGCGGAGGA
rnacentral:rRNA from 1 species